rnacentral:misc_RNA from 1 species
CUCCUUUUUUAUUAAUAUUCGACACGUCGUCUCUCCCAGUUUUAAAAUGCUUACGUCUAUCCGAUGACUCGGUUACGUUAGAGCUGCGUCGUGAUCCCAAAUUGAAGGCGCGACUCAAAGAACAGGUGGCCAAUACGAAAAAUCCCCAUUACGAAGACAUCGAACCAUCACCGCACAUUUACGACUACAAAGCAGCCAGUUGUCGAUCGCCCACUUCACACCAUCGCUCGUUGUCGCUGCAGGACUCUUACGAACCGCCACACAACAGCAACUCCAAUUCAUCGUCUUCGCCUGCGAUACGUUACGCCAAAUCGCCCACGCACUUGCCACACCGUCAAGGUUCGCUGCCAACGCCUGCGACGGCCAGCCAGCAACAGCAGGGUAAUCAUAGUCGCAGCUCUUCCGCCUCGUCAGCCCAGCUACAGUUUGGUGAUACAAACGCUUCGGUAGCGGCUGGUGGUGGAAACGCAGGUGGUGCCACUUGCACAUCGCCCACAAGUCGUCCUUCGCGCAUUCCAACCGCUUUGAAAGCACCACAAAAGCCAACCGUGCAGCAUUCGCCACAGCAUAAACGACCGCGACCAUCGCAAAUUCCAACGAAGGCCGGUCCCGCGGGUGCUGUGGCAGCUACCAACGGCAACGCGCCGCCAAGCGGCAACGCGACGCAAUCGUCUGUGCCUCCAACGGGUGGAAGUGGAAGUGCGCAUUUGCAACAUUCGAACAGUUAUAGCGGCAAUAGCACACGUUUCACGCAACAACAAGCAGCGGCGCACCAGAAGGAACGCGACGCUGAGCCAAACUCUGCGCCGCCACAGCCAGCGAAGGCGCCACGUUUCGAGGCGUACAUGAUGACUGGCGAACUGAUACUGAAUCUAUCGAGAACUUCGCAAAGUAGUAACCUACUGCCAGGACACGCAAAAAAGAUCGAUAGCUUGCGUGACUCACCACAACGUGCGGUCGUGGCUGCGCGCGCUAACGGUGCCCUGGCGCCUCGCGCCUCCGGUGAAUCAUCGCCCACAUCAUCCUCAUCGGUGGAUUCACCUACCCAUACGGGCAGUUCGGAGUCGGCAGCCCACCAUCAGAAAGAUCGUGGCAAACGACGUCACCAACAACCGCAUCACCAUCUACUACAACAACAAUUGGAUAGCAUAAACAACAGCUACAAUAACAGUAAUAGUGGUGGCGGAGGUGCGGGCGCUGUUGGUGCGACGGCCGAUGAUGCGCGCAAAGACGACACACUGUUGUUGUGUGAAGAGUUAGAGCGUGACGACGAGGAGUUAGGAGGAGGCGGCGGUGGCGGCGGCACCGACAAUAAUCGCAGACAUCGAUAUCACCAACAUCAAGCACAUUCAGCGCGACGUCAUCAGUACAGUCACCAGCAACAGCGUAGCAGCUACGAGCACGACGAAGGCGCUGACAUCGAGGAGAACGAGGAGGAUCAAACGCACUACGACAUCACAAACAUCGAAACGUACAAUAGCGGCGGCAUAGGCGGUGGCGAUGUGUGUGGCGAUGAUGAUGCCAGCGAUCGUCAGUGCCUAGUGACGCAUUAUGGUGACGACGAGGAUGACGAUGGCGACGAAGGCGAAGGUGAGGACUUUGAUGCUGAAGACGAAGACGGUUGUGGGGCUGAGCACGAAGACGAAGACUACUCUUCGAAUUCGCUCACAUCGGCAUCGGCAAAGCAACGUUUGCGUGCGUUAAAGCAAAAAGCUGCUGCUGCGCACUACAAACACGCACAAAGUGUGGUACGCGCUAGCGGUGGCGGCGCCGCCUACGAUUCGGUCGAUUGUGCGCGGCAACACUACACCGGCGGUUAUAACCAACACCACCACCACCAUCAUCAUCAUCAGCAACAGCAACAGCAUCCACAUCAACACCGCAAUCAGCAGCAUCGGCAACAGCAACGCGGCUCAGGGGGCUCGACUUCCUCAUCGGCGACGGUGAAAAGCGACGGCAUGGCCGGCUUAAACACCUCACCCGACGAGACUUCAUUCUCAGUGCCCACCUCGCCGAUUUCUUUGUCCACCCCGUUGAUUGAUAAGGACACGGCGAACUCAGUGCCCACCAGUCCGGAACCAUCGAGCCUGGGUGCAGUGGGCGGUGGCGGCGGCGGCGGCGGCGCCGGUCAUGAUGGCGUGGUGCGGCGACACAAUGGUGUUGUGCGUACAUGCGAUUCGGCUGGCUUUCGUACCAGCAAGUCGGAAGAUCACUUGCAGCAGGUGCAGCGUGAAGGUAUGGCCGCUGUGAUACCGAUCGAUAUUGAUGAGGAUGUGAAUAGUUCGCUGAAUACACUGCUCGAUACGAGACAAGACUCUGAAGACUCGCAGGGCUCCAAUCGUGAUCGCAUCGUUUGGACUUACAACGCACCGCUGGCGCCACACCAAAUACAACAAUUGCAGCAACAGCAACAGCUGCAGCAACAACUACAACAGCAACAACAGCAGUAUUCCAGCGCACACUAUGGCGGCGGUGGCGGUGGUGGCGGUGGCGGCCACAACAAUUCAUCGCCGAAUUCGCAGUCACAUUCACACUCCCAUUCGCAUUCGCAUUCACAUUCGCAUUCGCACUCGCAUUCGAGUUCGAUAAGUUCAUCGCCACAACAUUCAGCCGGCAGCCCUGCCUCACCUACAUCUGUGUCCAGUUCGGUGAUGUCAUCGUCCGGUUCGAAGGGUGCGCUUGGCAUAGGUGGCGCUUAUGCGUUGAGUAGCAACAACAAUGGUGGGCAUCAUCAGCAGCAGCAACAACAACAACAGCAGCAACAACAACUUCAACUGACAGCAAAUGCAGCUAAUGGCGGUACAAGUGGCGGCACCAGCGCAACCACGGCCACAACGGCUUUGCAAAUGGGUUUGUUACAAUGUCCUACUGGUAGUGGUAAUGGUAGUGGUGGUGGUGGUGGUAAUAAUAGUCUUGCAGGUGGUGCCGGUUGCGACCAGAGCGUCUCCGAAGCCAUCUCGAAUAUUUCUAGUCCCGACUAUCAGGACGAUGAUAAUUUAUUGAGUUCUCGCGAUCUUGCAGGCGGCAUGGUACUUAGCGAUCCCAGUGAUUCGGAUUCAACCAUACUCGUGUCGGAUACGGCGGCAGCAAGGCAAAAGCAGCAACAACAUCAUCAGCUACAACAGCAAGCACAAGCGCUACACCAACAACAAUUGCAGCAGCAGCAGCAACACCAACAGAAGAGUGCUGGUGGCCAACAACAGAAUUCCGAACAGCAUAAACUAGUGAUACAGGUGCGUGGCAUCGAUACCAGCAAUAGUGCCUCAACACGCUCAGCCUAUUCCGAACUGAAAGACUCCGAGGAUGAAUUGGCUACGUUGACGGAUGAGCCAUUGAACACCGUAUUGACGGUGGCGGGCAGUGGCGAUGGUUUCGGCGGCGCCGGUACGGGGCGAGAUUCAUCGCCACCCGUUUCAGAUGAUGGCAGCGAUGUGGAGUCGUUACAUUCCUAUCAUUACUCACCAAAGGCCGUAGAUAUGCCGUCGGCAAUACGGCUGGCCAAAAGACUGUACUCCCUGGAUGGUUUCAAGAAGAGCGACGUGUCGCGGCACCUCAGUAAAAACAACGACUUUAGUCGCGCCGUCGCCGACGAAUACCUAAAGUAUUUCAGUUUUGAAAAGAAAACGCUUGAUCAAUCUUUGCGCGAGUUUUUGCAACAAUUCUCGUUAUCGGGUGAGACGCAGGAGCGGGAACGCGUGUUGGUACAUUUUUCGAAACGCUUUUUGGACUGCAAUCCGGGUACAUUUAAUUCGCAAGAUGCUGUACAUACUUUAACUUGCGCUAUUAUGCUAUUGAAUACCGAUUUGCAUGGCCAAAAUAUCGGACGUAAAAUGACCUGCGCUGAAUUCAUUGAAAACCUGGCGGAACUCAAUGAUGGCGAAAAUUUUCCCAAGGACGUUUUGAAGUAUCUUUAUCAGGCUAUUAAGAGUCAACCGCUGGAAUGGGCGCUCGACGAUGAUUCUGCUGAAUUGCAAAAGCAACGCGCCGACAAUAAUGUGGGCAAUAGCACAAGCAACAGCCUAAUCGGACAAAAUCCAUUCUUAGACAUACCAGAGUCGUCAUCGGCGAUUGAAUACAAAAAAGGUUAUGUGAUGCGCAAGUGCUGUUUUGAUUCCAAUUACAAAAAAACACCCUUCGGUAAGCGUUCCUGGAAGAUGUUCUACUGUACACUGCGUGAUUUAGUGCUUUUCCUGCACAAAGACGAGCAUGGCUUUCGUAAAAGUCAGAUGUCCGAUAAUCUGCACAAUGCAAUACGCAUUCAUCACGCUUUAGCCACCAAGGCCACCGACUACACUAAAAAACAACACGUUUUCCGAUUGCAAACCGCCGAUCAAGCUGAGUAUCUAUUCCAGACUAGUGAUUCCAAAGAGCUGCAAUCGUGGGUGGAGACGAUCAAUUUCGUUUGUGCCGCCUAUUCAGCGCCCCCACUGGAGGGUGGUGUGGGUAGUCAAAAACGUUUUCAACGUCCGCUGUUGCCCAGCACGCAUACAAAGUACUUGAUGAAAGAGCAAUUAGAAUCGCACGAACAACAAUUGUCUCAAUUAGAGGCUGCACUUGCAGAUCACAAGAAAGGGCCCAUACCAAACAAAGGACUGCCACUACAGAAUUAUAAAGAAAAAGAAAACUACUUGCAAUAUGAGAUACGCCGCUAUCGUGCUUAUGUGUCAAUUUUAGCUGCUAAGCUACUUGCCGACCAACAGCAAUUGGAGGCUGCGCAACAACAACAACAACAAUUAACAAGCAACGAAGAAUUGGAUAAAUUUUCCACGAGUGGUGGAGGUGUGGUAGGCGGAGCUGUGAUUGGUGCGCGGCAACAGCAGCCGCCACCAGCGUAUCCACAACAAUUGCAAUUACAACAACCGACUGCACAGUCGCCAACAGUACAACAACAGCAGCAACAGGCACAGCCACAACAACAACAAACUUCAAACAGAUGGUUAUGUGGUUGCGCCUGGUGGUCAAUGCUGUUUUGCUAAACAGUGGUUGUGAAGCAAAGAAGGAGAGCUAAAUAAAAAUUAAAAAAAUAAAUAAUUAAAAUGUCCUUAAUUAACCUACAGUUCAUACCAUGAAUCAUACACGAAUUCGCUCGGCUAAUUCAAGCAUAAUGCGUAUAACACUUACCCACCAACCAACCAACACUCCCACUAAUGCACAUCCCUCAACUUUACCGGCUUCAUUGAUCUUCCAACAACUCCACACCAAUCCAACAUCUCAACCAGCCGCUGUUCCAUGUGCAAAAUGUGCCAAAAUUUUUAUAUAUGAAAAUCGGUAUUUUCUGUAUUUCGCAACCUUGAAGCGCUCGAAGUUUAAAUGUGUAUAAGCAUAGUGCAGAAAAAAAGAGAAAAAGAAAUGAAGGACCCCAUAUAUACAAACACUUGCAACUCCAUCAGAGAGCUUUGUACAGGAAUGAGCACACACACACACAGACACAUAGACCUGCUGUAGCAAAAGCACGCCAUUGAGUGAA